rnacentral:lncRNA from 1 species
ACUUUUUCCCCCACCGCCCCCUUCUCAUCCGCUUUAAAUCGGGCUCGGAACCUCAUGUGGUGACCACUGCCUUGUCGUCGUUGCUGCGGCCACCGUCGUCGCCAUCGCUCGGUAGUACGUCCAGGGGAACUGCCAUGGUUAUCUUCGUCCGUCCCGGGCGUCGGUUCAAGCAGGGACGCCGCGAGGCCGUCGCCAUCACCAUCAUCUCCGUUCGGCCGCCGCCAUCUCGCCGACGACCUGCGAUAUUUUGACCGUCCCCAGCCUCGACGAGCUCGCCUACGACCUCUCUGUGAGCCACUCUUCCGAACCCCCUGUCGCCGUUAUCAAUUCGUCGCCGUAGCCGUCGUCUGCGACCUCCAUGACUGCGCCUGUAACUCUGCUUCCGGGCAUGCCCACCCGCGUAUGGCCGCGCCCUGCUGCGGUGCUUGCUCGCCCGCUCCCGUUCCUUCUGCCUCUGCCGCACUAACCCACUGCCGCACGCCCCACGCCCGCUUGCUGCUGCCGCCUGCGCCCGCGCGCGCUCGGGCACCCAGACCGCGUCAUCGCCCGAGCUGCCGUGUUGCUUCGCUGCUGUGCUGCUCCUUGCGCUGUUGCUGCUCACUACUUGGCCACUGCUUGCUGCUGCCGCUACCUGCUGCUCUGUGUGCCUGCUACUGCCCUGCUCUGUUAUGUCGCUGCUGUUGCUUGCUACUGCUGCCCGUUGCGCUGCCUUGUAAACUGCCAUCGCUGCUGCUCUAUGGCCGUGGCCGUGUGUGUGCGUAGGUGUUGUGUGUGGCCGGUCUAUUUAGGCUAAUGCUUGAUUAGUUGUAGGGAUUAAUUAGUGGCUAGUUUAGCCUAUGUGCAAAUGACAUGUGGGUCCAUUUUAAUUAUGUUAGUUUUAUUUAAUUGUUUAGGUUCAGCCAAUGACAUAUGGGUCACCCCCUCCCCUUUUGACCAGUCAACUUGACUUGGUCAACCCGAAUUAAAACAAAAUCAAAAAAUUUCUUAAAGUCAUUAAAACUUUGGAAAAUCAUAGAAAAAAUGUAUGUAACUCGGAUGAAAAUGUUUUAUAUAAGAAAGUGAUCAGAAAAAUCCAACGAAUCUGAAUACGCGGUCCUUUCACCUCUCAUAUGCCCCUAGCAUGCUGAACAUGGAACCAUCCCCUCUCUUUCAUCUGUCGUAAUUCAUCUAACGCCGGGGAUUCAUCCUCGGAUGUUUAUCCCCUCCGUCUGCAACGUGUAGUACUAUGUUAGGACAACCCUAGCUUUACCUAUCAUCUUGUCAUGCCUUGUGAUGCAUUGUUUGCUCUGUAUUUAAUGUUUCUUCCCCCUCUUCUCUCCGGUAGACCCCGAGACCGAUGUCGCCCCUGUGAUCGACUACGUCGACGACGACCCCCUCCUUGCCAGAGCAACCAGGCAAGCAAACCCUCAUUGAGCAUUCCGAUAUCGCCCAUUUCUUUCCCUCUCAUGCUUGCAUUAGAACCGCUACUGCUUUCUGUAUGAUCCUACUCUGAUGCAUAGCCUAUUGUUGUUACCUGCUUUUAUACCUUACCUUCUUAUCCUAAACUUCUUAGUAUAGGUUGGUUAGUGAUCCAUCAGUGACCCCCACCUUGUCCGAGUUGCCCCGCUUUAUGUUCAAUGACUCGAUCAACGUGAUCGACGUCCAGGCCCCGACACCGCACAUCAUCCCCCUAGUUGUACGACUCUGCAGAGUUACCAUCGAGUGCCGAGGGUGGAACCUCUUACAUCACUCCUGAUGAGAUCUCAGUAGUGUAGCUAUACGACCGAGGUCAUCGAGGGUGAUUUCCUCCUUAACCUCUUUCGUUACGGCUCUGUCGUGCAACCCCUCAAGUGUGAACCUCGAGGGUGGAUCCUCUUACGUUCACCUUGAUGAUAACAUCGAGUGGAAUUCAUCGAGGGUGAUUCCUCGGGUUUUCAUCUUGGUGUUAGACACACAGUUACUAUGGUUACUAUGACUUUACACUGAACCAUGUUACUAAAGACGGGUCGACCCUGAGGGGUACCCGCGCGAGCUUAAUAGCGAGUGAUGUGGAGUCGAGCAUACCUGGAAGGUGCCCGCGAGAUACUUACGAGGCGUGGCCGGGUAUUCUUAGCCCUUGUCACAAGUACUCGAGAUGGGGAGACGGGGUCACAUCGAUCGUGAGUCUCUGCUCGUUACCGCGCGUUCCUAAUCCACUACGAUUUGGAUAUUUGAUCCGAGGGGCCUCUGGCCUGAUAGCACUAACCAUCACAUGGGCAUAGUAUGGGCGUUCUACAUCGUAUACAUCAGCCGAAACUUAAUAGACGUCAGCGACUGAGCGACGUGCGCCGGGUUGGACUGGUAAGCUCCUGCCUUUUAGGGAGGUAGCUAGGUCUGCUCACCGGCCACAUACGCAACAUGCAGGAGUUCCUGGGGAGAUGGCCCAUGACCCCUAGGGGCAUAGGUUUAGUCUGGCGUGCUGGCCUCUCUAUUAAGCCUAGGUCGGGUUGCGGCGUAUUGUUUGGCCGAGGCCGGGCAUGACCCAGGAAAGUGUGUUCGGCCGGAGUUAAUCGAGCGUGGUGGGUAAGUUGGUGCACCCCUGUAGGGAAGAAAACAUCUAUCGAUAGCCUGUCCUACGGUAACGGACACUUGGAGUUGUAUUUCAACUGAUACAACUAGAACUGGAUAAUUGUGAUGAGAACUGGAUGCUGAUGCGAAUUGGAUUGUGAUAAUAAUUGGAUAGUAUGGCUCUGGGAUUGCUUUCUCGCAGGGAGUCAAGAAAGGAUCUCUGGCCGAGGUUGAUAACUCUACUGCUACUUUACUUUAUGUUACUCUACUCCCUCCUGUUGCUGCAAGAUGGUGGUUUCCAGAAGAUGCUAGUCUUCGAUAGGCUAGGCUUUCCCCUUCCCUUCUGGCAUUCUGCAGUUUAGUCCACAGAUACAACCCAUUCCUUUGAUACAGAUACAUACUUAGUUUAGAUCUGAUGUAAGUCUUGCGAGUACUUUGGAUGAGUACUCACGGUUGCUUUGCUACUUCUUUUCCCCCAUACCCGAUUGUUGCGACCAAAUGACGGAGCCCAGGAGCCAGACGAUGCCACUGAUGACUACUACUACCCGGAGGAUGCCUACUACUACGUGAACACCGCCGACGACUAGGAGUUGUUAGGAGGCUCCCAGGCAGGAGGCCUUGCCUUUUUCGACCGUUGUUGCUUUUGUGCUAGCCUUCUUAAGGCAAACUUGUUUAACUCAUGUCUGUACUCAGAUAAUGUUGCUUCCGCUGACUCUUUUGUUUUCGAGCUUAUGUAUUCGAGCCCUCGAGGCCCCUGGCUUGUAAUAUAAAGCUUGUAUUAUUUUAAUUUUUGUCUAGAGUUGUGUUGUGUUA